rnacentral:ncRNA from 1 species
GAACUGUUAUAAAAAAACAUGACGGGGUCCAAACCAAUCGAAAUUACUUCAUCGCCGCCGCGCUGAAUAUUAGCUUUGAAGUUUUUUUUUGUGGUUUUUAGGACUCGUCCUUCUUGUCCCAGGUCUAAGCUGUCACUUAGGCCUAGUCCACUAUAUGCUAAAUGGCACUGGUAUAUUGUAGGGCUACACACCUGGAUGCGGGGACAUCUCGUUAGGCACACAGUACCAAGCAGUGGUUGUAACACUCCACUGUUCCAAUGACACGGGUACGGUAAUAAUCUGUGUGAUAGAGACAAUCCGCAGCUGAGUUGGCUGCCUUGAAAGAGGAUGCUGACCGGUUCAACGCUCGCUAAGGUGUGGGUUGUGACCAAUUUUGAAUACAUUUACGGUCAUGGCUUAAGGUACGGGCUACGCCCACCCGAGAGGGUGAUACUGUCUACCGGAAGUGCACUCUGAGAAGCAGUAUGCGCGGGGAGUCCUCACUCCUCGCAGGGUAUCACGG